GAAACAUGAGUUGAUUCAGCUAGAGGAGUGAACGGAAUGUUAAAGAGCAAUUAAAAAGCAGCCAUGACCUAGUAGAGUUAUAACUGAGGUUGAGAAGUGACUCAAAGAACAAAAAGAAAACAUAUGAAGGUAGCACACAUUUUUAGGAACGUCAACAAAGAACACAAAUCUGGCAUUUUAAAAAUGUUUUUCUUUUGAAGAAUCUGGGACCUGUGACCUGUUGAGUUUCUCAGAGUCUGGAUUUUCCCGAUUAUAUAGUGAUGGAAAAGAGGCUUCCCCAAGUCAGCAACCACUAACAACCUACCUGGCCUGCCUUGCAUAGAUGGAGACACGAGUAGAGGCGGUACAGCAUUCUGUGAGGAGGCUGAAGCGGUACUACUAACUUCAUUAGCUGCUGC